AUGAGCGACUCGAAGCAUCCCAUGCCGGUGCAAGGUGGUGGGGCUGUCGCUGGGGUUCGUGGCCUUAGUGGUGACCGGCGUGGUGGGGCUGAUGCUGGGUGCGGCGGUCUGCCUGUUCCUGUUCCCCACGGCUCUCGAGCUGCAGCUGCUCACCUCACCCUCCAUGACCCACAAUCUGGAGUUGGUUCAGCCAUUACAAGUGCAGAAGGGUCGUCGUUGGACCAAAGCCAGCUCCGAUCUCCAACUUCUUUAAGGGAUACAGGUAAUGUUCCGUUUGAUCCUGGCUCCCAGUCUGAUAUUCCAGUCGGACAGCAAAGGGGCUGCUCUGCAUUUGGGGUCGGAGCACGACUAGUAAAUUCUGAUGCAGUUCUGGAAGCCAUUGAAACCAUGAACCUAAUUUGCUGGAAUUGCAGAGGGCUAGGUAGAUCCCUUGCUAGUAAUAAAAUGCAAUACCUGGCCAAUUUGAUGACAUCGACGAACGCUAAGGUAACUUUUAUCUCUGAGACGCUUUCUUCAAAAACUAAGUCACAUGAUCUAGUUAAUCGUUUUCCUAUUAGUGACUGUUUUGUUGUUCCUGCGGAAGGCCGGUCUGGAGGCCUUUGGGUCAUGUGGAUGGAUGACAUCAAGUUAGAUAUAAUCUACUCUAGUCAGAAUGUAGUCUUAGCUUCAGUUGUUAAUACUAGUGCCAAUUUUAAUUUCUUGUUAGUCUGCAUCUAUGGUGACCCGCAUCAUCGCAAAAACAAGGACAUAUGGAAGUUAGUUGAGGAGUUUGUUUCUUCUUCUCCAGGGAAACCUGUGUACUGUAUGGGUGAUUUUAAUGAUAUCCUUGACCCCUUGGAGAAGAAUAGUAAUGUUGUUUUAAACCGCCUUCGUAUGGCUAGUUUUUCUAAUCAUAUUAAACGAUGUGGUUUAAUAGAUAUGGGUUUUAAUGGUCCUGCCUUUAUGUGGUGCAAUAAACGUUUUACUUCCAUUCCUACUUAUGAAAGACUUGAUCGAUGUUUUGCAAACGUUGAAUGGUGUAAAGUAUUUCCUAAUACUGCUGUGUACAACUUGCCAAUUAUGUAUAGUGAUCAUGCACCAAUUCUUACUAUCUCCAAACCUGUUACUGUUAAAACAAAAAGACCUUUCAAAUUUGAGAAUUGGUGGCUUUUAGAGGAAGAUUAUCAUGAUAUGGCUAAGAAUAAUUGGAUCACAUCUAAUAAUAAACCUUUCCAUGUUAGAGCUGCCUUACUUGCAGGUUCCCUCAAGAAAUGGAGUAAGAGCAAAAGACCUUUGCAGCAACAGCUUGACAUCAUUCACAAAGAUUUGGAGAUGCUACAAGCUAAUCCUAUUCAUUUACAGGAUCACAACAGGGAAGCUAGCCUCAUCGAGCAAUAUGACAAGACUAUGACUAAACUUACGGAAUUUUAUAGGCAAAGGGCUAAAAGGCAUUGGGCUACUAUAGGUGAUAGGAACACUAAUUAUUUCCAUAAUUCAGUGCUUAAAAGGAGAAGGAAGAAUAGAAUUAGUUCAAUCAUUGAUCAUAAUAAUAAAAUUCUUCAAAGCCCAGAUGAGAUUGCGGACUGCUUCAUAAACUACUUCAUUAAUUUAUUCUCAUCCAGUAACCCCAAUUUAGAUACUCUUCCUUCUCUGAACAAUAAUAAUGAGAAUAUAAUGGAUUGUCCUACUGCUCCAGACAAAGAUGAAGUUUUGCAGGUCCUUAAAGGAAUGAAGAAGAAUGCAUCCCCUGGACCAGAUGGGCUGAAUGUAGCCUUCUACCUCUCAGCGUGGAAGUGGAUAGGAGAAGACAUAACCAAAUUAGUUCAAGAUUUCUACGCAAGGGGUAAGCUUCAUCCUCAGCUUAAUAAAACCUGUAUCACUUUAAUUCCAAAGAAAGAAAAUGCUAAUAUUCCUCAAGAUUUCAGGCCCAUUAGUCUUUGUAAUGUAGUUUAUAAAAUUAUCACCAAAACUUUGGCCAAUAGACUCAAAGAUCUUCUACCUGAUUAUAUCCAUGAGUCUCAGCAAGCUUUCAUACAAGGCAGGAGGGUUACUAAUAAUAUUGUUAUUGCUCAAGAAAUCACUCACUCCUUUCUGCUUAAAUCCUGGAAGCACAAAGCCUUUAUGCUUAAAAUAGAUUUGGCCAAAGCUUUUGACAGAAUUGAAUGGUGCUUUAUCAGAAGGGCGUUGUUCCGAAAAGGGCUGCAUUGUCAUUUCAUAGAUUUAAUCAUGGAAUGUAUCUCCUCUGCCACCUUUUCUGUUAACAUUAAUGGGCAACCGUUUGGCAGUUUUAAGGGAUCCCGAGGCAUUCGACAAGGCUGUCCCCUGUCACCGUAUCUUUUUAUUCUUGCAGUCAAUGAAUUGUCACUUUCAAUGCAGGAGGCUUUAAAUGCCAAUCAUUUCAGCAGUAUCCAAUUAGGCCCAGGUUGCCCCCCUAUCCACUCUCUCAUGUUUGCGGACAACCUGAUUGUCUGUGGCAGAGCAGAUAAUAAUGAUGCCAAUACGAUUGCUUUUAUUAUUAAUCAGUUUUGUGCUGUUUCUGGUCAAACUCCUAAUUGGAAUAAAUCUGCCAUACUUUUUAGUAAAAGUACUUAUGAUAAUUUGAGGAACCAAAUUAAGAAUAUCUUUCCUGCUCCUAAUAUGGAUUGUAAUACUACUCAUCUUGGCCAUCCUCUUAUUUUACCUGGUAAAAAUAGACCUGCAGCUUAUAAUUUUAUUAUUGAUAAGUUUAGAGCUAAACUUAAUUGCUAUAAGGCUAACAGGUUGUCUCAUGCAGGAAGACUCACUCUUAUUAAAUCUGUUUUUGCUUCCCUUCCUGUGUAUCACAUGUCUAAUAUCCUUUUAAGUAAAUCCACCAUUAAUAAACUCACUUCCAUAAAUAGAAAGUUCUGGUGGACAGGUAUUGAUAAGGAUAAUGCUUCCAAACCUAUCUGCUUUAGGGCUUGGGAUGAUAUUUGCAAACCUAUGCAUCAAGGUGGUCUAGGCAUUAGAGAUCUUUAUAUGAUGAAUAAGUCUAUGGUUGCUAUGAUGGCUUGGAGAGUUAUUAAGAGUCCUAAUUCUCUUGUUACGAAAGUUCUCAAAGCCAAAUAUUUUCAUAACUCUUCUAUUUGGAAAGUGAAUGGCAAUGUUCCUAAAUCUGCUUUCUGGUCCUCUAUUCUCAAAGUUCUUCCUUUCAUUAGCAAGGCUAGUCAUACUCAAAUUGCUAAUGGUAAUACUUGUAUUUGGACUAGUCCUUGGUGCAAUGAUUGGGACAAUAUUUAUGAUCACCUUAAACCUAAUCUAGGUAUCCCUUGUCCUAAAGUUGUUAGUGAUCUUUGGAAACCAAAUUGUAAGAGUUGGGAUGAGGAUAAAAUUAAUAUCUUUUUCGAUGAUAAUUUCAAGAGAAAUAUUUUACAAACUCCUAUCAUUAAUGCUAAUAUGGACGAUACUUUAUGUUGGAUUCAUACCCCUAAUGCGGAGUGUACCACUAAAAGUGCUUAUAAAGCUUUGAUGCAGGAGGCCCAAUCCGGGUUACAAUCUCAAAGUCACACUAUUUCAGAUUCUGAAAUUUCUAUUCUCAAUCAGGUUUGGAAAAGCAAAAACCUGGCUCCAAGAGUCAAAACCUUUGCAUGA
rnacentral:rRNA from 1 species